UACACACCGCCCGUCACACCAUGGGAGUCGUCGGCACCCGAAAUUGUUUUAGCUAACCUGAAAAGGAGGCGGACAAUGAAGAUGAAGGGGAUGACUGGGGUG
rnacentral:rRNA from 1 species